AGUGAACGCUGGCGGUAGGCCUAACACAUGCAAGUCGAACGGCAGCACAGUAAGAGCUUGCUCUUACGGGUGGCGAGUGGCGGACGGGGGAGGAAUACAUCGGAAUCUACUUUUUCGUGGGGGUUAAGGUAGGGAAACUUACUCUAAUACCGCAUACGACCUACGGGUGAAAGCAGUGGAUCUUCGGACCUUGCGCGAUUGAAUGAGCCGAUGUCGGAUUAGAUAGUUGGGGGGGUAAAGGCCCACCAAGGCGAGGAUCCGUAGCUGGUCUGAGAGGAGGAUCAGCCACACUGGAACUGAGACACGGUCCAGACUCCUACGGGAGGCAGCAGUGGGGAAUAUUGGACAAUGGGCGCAAGCCUGAUCCAGCCAUACCGCGUGGGUGAAGAAGGCCUUCGGGUUGUAAAGCCCUUUUGUUGGGAAAGAAAAGCAGCAGGUUAAUACCCCGCUGUUCUGACGGUACCCAAAGAAUAAGCACCGGCUAACUUCGUG
rnacentral:rRNA from 1 species